rnacentral:rRNA from 1 species
AUUGAACGCUGGCGGCAUGCCUUACACAUGCAAGUCGAACGGCAGCACGGGAGCAAUCCUGGCGGCGAGUGGCGAACGGGUGAGUAAAGUAUCGGAACGUGCCCAGUCGUGGGGGAUAACGUAGCGAAAGUUACGCUAAUACCGCAUACGAUCUAUGAAUGAAAGCGGGGGAUCGCAAGACCUCGCGCGAUUGGAGCGGCCGAUAUCGGAAUAGGUAGUUGGUGGGGUAAAGGCUCACCAAGCCGACGAUCUGUAGCUGGUCUGAGAGGACGAACAGCCACACUGGGACUGAGACACGGCCCAGACUCCUACGGGAGGCAGCAGUGGGGAAUUUUGGACAAUGGGCGCAAGCCUGAUCCAGCCAUGCCGCGUGCAGGAUGAAGGCCUUCGGGUUGUAAACUGCUUUUGUACGGAACGAAAAGGUUUGGCCUAAUAAGCUGAGCUCAUGACGGUACCGUAAGAAUAAGCACCGGCUAACUACGUGCCAGCCGCCGCGGUAA